AUUGAACGCUGGCGGCAGGCCUAACACAUGCGAGUCGAGCGGAUGAAGGGAGCUUGCUCCUGGAGUCAGCGGCGGACGGGUGAGUAAUGCCUAGGAAUCUGCCUGGUAGUGGGGGAUAACGUCCGGAAACGGGCGCUAAUACCGCAUACGUCCUGAGGGAGAAAGUGGGGGAUCUUCGGACCUCACGCUAUCAGAUGAGCCUAGGUCGGAUUAGCUAGUUGGUGGGGUAAAGGCCUACCAAGGCGACGAUCCGUAACUGGUCUGAGAGGAUGAUCAGUCACACUGGAACUGAGACACGGUCCAGACUCCUACGGGAGGCAGCAGUGGGGAAUAUUGGACAAUGGGCGAAAGCCUGAUCCAGCCAUGCCGCGUGUGUGAAGAAGGUCUUCGGAUUGUAAAGCACUUUAAGUUGGGAGGAAGGGCAGUAAGUUAAUACCUUGCUGUUUUGACGUUACCAACAGAAUAAGCACCGGCUAACUUCGUG
rnacentral:rRNA from 1 species